rnacentral:rRNA from 1 species
GACGUAGGGGGCCAGCAUUGCUCGGAAUUACUGGGCGUAAAGGGUUCGUAGGCGGUGUGGCAAGUCGGGAGUGAAAUCUCCAGGCUCAACUUGGAGGCUGCUUCCGAAACUGCCGCGCUAGAGUGCGAGAGAGGCCAGUGGAAUGCAGGUGUAGCGGUGAAAUGCGUAGAUAUCUGCAGGAACACCCGUGGCGAAGGCGG